rnacentral:rRNA from 1 species
UCAAGCUAAUAAGAGCGCAGGGAGGAUGCCUUGGCAUUGGGAGCCGAUGAAGGACGUGGUAAGCUGCGAAAAGCUGCGGGGAAUUGCAAGCAAGUAUUGAUCCGCAGAUGUCCGAAUGGAGCAAUCCGUUAAGAGUAAUAUCUUAACAUCAUAUACUGAAUCAAUAGGUAUAUGAGGGGAACCGCCUGAACUGAAACAUCUAAGUAGGGCGAGGAAAAGAAAUCAACCGAGAUUCCGAAAGUAGUGGCGAGCGAAAUCGGAAGAGGCUAAACCGAACUCAGAAAUGAGAUCGGGGUUUAGGACUGCAUUUAGUAUUGAAAUGAGCGAGCAGAAUGCUUUGGGAAAAGCAGCCGAAGAACGUGAGAGCCGUGUAAGCGAAGUGAGUUUCAGCGAGCAGUAUCCAAAGUACCGCGGGGCACGUGAAAUCCCGUGGGAAGAUGGGGGGACCACCCUCCAAGCCUAAAUACUACCCAAUGACCGAUAGCGAAUAGUACUGUGAAGGAAAGGUGAAAAGCACCCCGGGAGGGGAGUGAAAAAGAACCUGAAACCCUGUGCUUACAAGCACUGAGAGCUCGUCAAAGAGUGAUCAGGUACCUAUUGUAGAAUGGUCCGGCGAGUUAUGAUAUGCAGCAAGGUUAAGUACUUAAGGUACGGAGCCGCAGCGAGAGCGAGUCUGAAUAGGGCGUAAAGUUGUAUGUCAUAGACCCGAAACCGAGUGACCUAGCCAUGUCCAGGCUGAAGUGGAGGUAAAACUCCAUGGAGGGCCGAACCGACCUCCGUUGAAAAGGCGGCGGAUGAGGUGUGGCUAGCGGAGAAAUUCCAAUCGAACUCGGAUAUAGCUGGUUCUCUCCGAAAUAGCUUUAGGGCUAGCGUUGCAACAGAUUACCGGAGGUAAAGCACUGAAUAGGCUAGGGGGCGAGAGCUUACUGAACCUUAUCAAACUAAGAAUGCCGGAUAAUUGAUUUGCAGCAGUCAGACAGUGUGAGAUAAGUUUCAUUGUCAAAAGGGAAACAGCCCAGACCCACAGCUAAGGUCCCAAAGUACAUUUGAGUGGAAAAGGAUGUGGGGUUGCAUAGACAACCGGGAUGUUGGCUUAGAAGCAGCCAUACAUUAAAAGAGUGCGUAAUAGCUCACCGGUCGAGUGACCCUGCGCCGAAAAUUCAACGGGGCUAAAAUGUACACCGAAGCUUGGGAUUGUACUUUGUACAGUGGUAGGAGAGCGUCGUAUGAGAGGAGAAGUCAGAGCGGAAGCGCUGGUGGAUUUCAUACGAGUGAGAAUGCCGGAAUGAGUAGCGAGAAUUAUGUGAGAAUCAUAAUGGCCGAAAGUCUAAGGUUUUGGAAGGAAGGUUCGUCCGCUUCCAGUAAGCCGGGAGCUAAGGUGAGGCCGAAAGGCGUAGCCGAUGCACAUACGGUUGAAAUUCCGUAGCCUCCGAAGUAUUUAAACAGAAGGACACUUGAGAAGUGAUGAUGCCGGGCGAUGGUUGACCCGGUCGUAAGGGACCGAAAUUUAGUAGGGAAGUCAUCAUGGAUUGAGGCGAGAAAAGUUCUGUGAAUAUACAAGGAGCCCGUACCGCAAACCGACACAGGUAGAUAGGAAGAAAAUUCUAAGGCCAACGGGAGAAGGGUUGUUAAGGAACUCGGCAAGUUGACCCCGUAACUUCGGAAUAAGGGGUGCUCUCGAGAGAGAGCCGCAGAGAAUAGGCCCAGGCGACUGUUUAGCAAAAACACAGCUCUAUGCUAAAUCGAAAGAUGAUGUAUAUGGGGUGACACCUGCCCGGUGCCGGAAGGUUAAGAGGAGGCGUGAGAGCGCUGAAUUGAAGCCCCGGUAAACGGCGGCCGUAACUAUAACGGUCCUAAGGUAGCGAAAUUCCUUGUCAGGUAAGUUCUGACCCGCACGAAUGGUGUAACGAUCUGGGCACUGUCUCAACAACCCGCCCGGCGAAAUUGUAGUACCGGUGAAGAUGCCGGUUACCCGCGACUAGACGGAAAGACCCCAUGGAGCUUUACUGCAGCUUAAUGUUGAAUUUCGGUAUUUCAUGUACAGGAUAGGUGGGAGACUGGGAACUACAGGCGUCAGCUUGUGGGGAGUCACUGUUGGGAUACCACUCUUGAAGUGCUGGAAUUCUAACCUGCGGCCUUGAAUCAGGUCGGGGGACAUCGUUAGGCGGGCAGUUUGACUGGGGCGGUCGCCUCCAAAAGAGUAACGGAGGCGCUCAAAGGUCAGCUCAGCAUGGAUGGAAACCAUGCAAGUGAGUGCAAACGCAAAAGCUGGCCUAACUGCGAGACUGACGGGUCGAGCAGUAACGAAAGUUGGAGUUAGUGAUCCGGCGGUAUGUGAGUGGAAAUGCCGUCGCUCAACGGAUAAAAGCUACCCUGGGGAUAACAGGCUGAUCUCCCCCAAGAGUCCACAUCGACGGGGAGGUUUGGCACCUCGAUGUCGGCUCAUCGCAUCCUGGGGCUGAAUUCGGUCCCAAGGGUUUGGCUGUUCGCCAAUUAAAGCGGUACGCGAGCUGGGUUCAGAACGUCGUGAGACAGUUCGGUCCCUAUCUGUCGUGGGCGAAGGAUAUUUGAAAGGAGCUGUCCCUAGUACGAGAGGACCGGGAUGGACGCACCUCUGGUGCACCGGUUGUCGUGCCAACGGCACAGCCGGGCAGCUAAGUGCGGAACGGAUAAACGCUGAAGGCAUCUAAGCGUGAAACCGCCCUUAAGAUAAGAUAUCCCAUCGAAAGAGUAAGACCCCUCAAAGACUAUGAGGUUGAUAGGCCUAUGGUGUAAGCAUGGUGACAUGUUCAGCCUGCAGGUACUAAUCGGUCGAGGGCUUGACCUU